rnacentral:rRNA from 1 species
GCGGACUCCCUGGAAUUGGCUUGUCCAGAGAUAGGGACGUUGCAUCCGUAAAGCGUCGCGCCUCACGCGGCGUCCGGUGCAUCGGCGUUGGCCCUUGAAAAUCCGAGGGAGGCAGUGUGAUUUUCACUCCAGGCCGUACCCGAAUCCGCAGCAGGUCUCCAAGGUGAACAGCCUCUGGUCGAUAGAACAAUGUAGGUAAGGGAAGUCGGCAAAUCCGAUCCGUAACUUCGGGAUAAGGAUUGGCUCUGAGGUGCGGGCUGCUUCGGGUCGCGGCAAGAAGCGGACCGCGCGUCGGUAGGACUGGACGCGCUUCGGCGCGUUCGGACCGCCGCCGGCGUGCGUCCGUGGGAGGCCGUGGCUUUCGCCGGCGUCGGCUCUCGGGUCGGCGUCGGCUUCGUUCGGCCUAAACGCACAGCACAGAACUGGCACGGACUCUGGGAACACGACUGUCUAAUUAAAACAAAGCAUCGCGAUGGCCGCUGGUCGGUGUUGACGCGAUGUGAUUUCU